CUGGUGAAAAUGAUGCAUGUUCA
rnacentral:siRNA from 1 species